AACGAACGCUGGCGGCAGGCCUAACACAUGCAAGUCGAACGCCGUAGCAAUACGGAGUGGCAGACGGGUGAGUAACACGUGGGAACAUACCCUUUGGUUCGGAAUAACUCAGGGAAACUUGAGCUAAUACCGGAUAAGCGCUUAGGCGGAAAGAUUUAUCGCCGAAGGAUUGGCCCGCGUCCGAUUAGCUAGUUGGUGAGGUAACGGCUCACCAAGGCGACGAUCGGUAGCUGGUCUGAGAGGAUGAUCAGCAACAUUGGGACUGAGACACGGCCCAAACUCCUACGGGAGGCAGCAGUGGGGAAUAUUGGACAAUGGGCGCAAGCCUGAUCCAGCCAUGCCGCGUGAGUGAUGAAGGCCCUAGGGUUGUAAAGCUCUUUUGUGUGGGAAGAUAAUGACUGUACCACAAGAAUAAGCCCCGGCUAACUUCGUGCCAGCCGCCGCCGUAACAC
rnacentral:rRNA from 1 species